ensembl:ncRNA lncRNA:CR44572 long non-coding RNA:CR44572
CCACUGUGCGAUUUCCAUAUAAAACUUUAAGUAUGAAGAAGUGGGAAUCUAAUGUCUAUGCAGACCAGAAGAGAUCCACUUAAUCCGCCGCCCGACAACUUCAUCAUCAUUUGUCGGCGUACAAACCAAAACAUAUGGAAAGAUGAUUUAGCAUCGCAUGCUCAACCGCCGAUCAUAGAAGGGAUGCUGAUCAUGUGGGACUGGGAAUUAUAAAUCACCCGCCACUUGUGCAUUAUGCCGCUCAAUCACUUUGCUCUGGGCUCUUUAAUUGCAAAAUCACAUUAGCAUAAAUUUGUUAAAAACAUUUCAAGUGAAAUUAUUGCACAGGCCCCUUAUUCCGCAGAGAUCCCGCACUCAAUACUCCGCCGGGCACAAUGACAUUAAUAAGCAAUUACAAGACAGAAAUAGCAACUGCAAAUUACUUCAAAAGGCUAAAAGCGAACGAGGCAUCUGUAUCUGCAUUAGUAUCUAAAGGCCUUUGGAGCCUGGCCGCCAGUCGGCGUUGGAGUAAUGGCGUUAUAGUGUGCCCCUUGCAUCCAGUUCAUCAUCAUAUCGGGGGGCAUAGCCAUACAUCUUCAUAGUGGAGGGACUGCGGAAUGACCUCCAGUUAGCUGGUUGGCUCCGUUAGUCGUCGUCAUCGUCAUCAUCGCCGUUGUUUCACCCAUCACGGCACUGCACUGUUAUGGCUUCAAGUGGCUUCAUUCAUUCAUUCCAUGUCCGUCUGGCUGCCUGCCCAGCAUUUUCCCAGUUUUCUCGUCGCCCUGCGGAUGAUGAAAAACUAAAACUGACGUCGCUCCACGACGGGCACGACAAUGAGCCGACUGUUUAAUGUCCAACUUCAACUCCAAAUCCAGGAGGCAGGAGGCCUUUGCUUUUUUGCCCGCCUGACAAUUUCGCAAAACAAGAGCAACCUUUAUUAGCACGCCAGCAAAAAGAAAUAAAUGUUAGUUGGUCUUGGCCAAGAAAAAGCGCCGCUGGCUGAAAUUGGAAUGUCCAAUAGACGAAAGGGUUUCCCAACUUAUUAGACUGAAUAGUGACGGCUUUGUCUGCGGGCAGGAUAACCAAGGGUUAUGACUAGAUUAGGCUGCGACUUGGCUGUUGAAAAUGGGAUGGAAAACAGAGCUCUAAGUUAAUUAUUGCGGACACAUACACUAGCAAAAAUAAUUGCAGAAAUACUGAGAAUUAGACUAUUCUAUCUUCU